ensembl:snRNA U6 U6 spliceosomal RNA
GUGCUCGCUUCAGCAGCACAAAUACUAAAAUUGGAACAAUACAGAAAAGAUCAGCAUGUCCCCUGCACGUGGAUGCCAUGCAAAUUUGUGAUGCAUUAAAAAAAAAA